GAUCCUAGAGCUCAGGACGAACGCUGUGCGGCGUGCUUAACACAUGCAAGUCGAGCGGUAAGGCCCUUUCGGGGGUACACGAGCGGCGAACGGGUGAGUAACACGUGAGCAAUCUGCCCUUCACUUCGGGAUAACCACCGGAAACGGUGGCUAAUACCGGAUACGACCAGUCUCUGCAUGGGGUGCUGGUGGAAAGUUCCGGCGGUGGGGGAUGAGCUCGCGGCCUAUCAGCUUGUUGGUGGGGUAAUGGCCUACCAAGGCGACGACGGGUAGCCGGCCUGAGAGGGUGACCGGCCACACUGGGACUGAGACACGGCCCAGACUCCUACGGGAGGCAGCAGUGGGGAAUAUUGGACACUGGGCGGAAGCCUGAUCCAGCAACGCCGCGUGAGGGAUGACGGCCUUCGGGUUGUAAACCUCUUUCAGUACCGACGAAGCGCGAGUGACGGUAGGUACAGAAGAAGCACCGGCCAACUACGUGCCAGCAGCCGCGGUAAUACGUAGGGUGCGAGCGUUGUCCGGAAUUAUUGGGCGUAAAGGGCUCGUAGCGGUUUGUCGCGUCGGGGGUGAAAACUCGGGGCUUAACUCCGAGCCUGCUUUCGAUACGGGCAGACUAGAGGUAUGCAGGGGAGAACGGAAUCCCUGGUGUAGCGGUGAAAUGCGCAGAUAUCAGAAGGAACAC
rnacentral:rRNA from 1 species